GUCGAGGGGCAGCGGUGGUGAAGGCUUGCCUUUACCAGCCGGCGACCGGCGCACGGGUGAGUAACACGUAUGCAACCUGCCUGCCACAGCCGGAUAAUCGGGAGAAAUUCCGUCUAAUACGGCAUAAUGCAUCGACGGGACAUCCUGUUGGUGCCAAAGGUUGAUUCCGGUGGCGGAUGGGCAUGCGUCGCAUUAGUUAGUUGGCGGUGUAACGGACCACCAAGACGACGAUGCGUAGGGGUUCUGAGAGGAAGGUCCCCCACACUGGUACUGAGACACGGACCAGACUCCUACGGGAGGCAGCAGUGAGGAAUAUUGGUCAAUGGGCGGGAGCCUGAACCAGCCAAGUCGCGUGAGGGAUGACGGCCCUAUGGGUUGUAAACCUCUUUUGCCGGGGAGCAAAGUGCCGCACGUGUGCGGUUUGGAGAGUACCCGGAGAAAAAGCAUCGGCUAACUCCGUGCCAGCAGCCGCGGUAAUACGGAGGAUGCGAGCGUUAUCCGGAUUUAUUGGGUUUAAAGGGUGCGUAGGCGGACGCUUAAGUCAGCGGUAAAAUUGCGGGGCUCAACCUCGUCGAGCCGUUGAAACUGGGUGCCUUGAGUGGGCAAGAAGUACGCCGAAUGCGUGGUGUAGCGGUGAAAUGCAU
rnacentral:rRNA from 1 species